AGCGAACAUUGGCGGUAGGCUUAACACAUGCAAGUCGAGCGAGGCGUAAUAGUCGAGCGGCGAACGGGUGCGUAAUACAUGGGAAUCUACCAUGAAGUGGGGGAUAACGUCCAGAAGGGGACGCUAAUACCGAAUAAUCCACAUUGGGAAUGCGUUGCAGCGCUUUAGGAUGAGCCCAUGGCUGAUUAGGUAGUUGGUGAGGUAAUGUCUCACCAAGGCGACGAUCAGUAGCUGGCCUGAGAGGAUGAUCAGCCACACCGGAACUGAGACACGGUGCAGACUCCUACGGGAGGCAGCAGUGGGGAAUCUUGCGCAAUGGGGGCAACCCUGACGCAGUCAUACCGCGUGAGUGAUGAAGGCCUUCGGAUUGGAAAGCACUUUCGUCUGGGUCGACGAUGACGGUACCCGCAAAAGAAGUCACGGCUAACUUCGUGCCAGCAGCCGCAGUAA
rnacentral:rRNA from 1 species